rnacentral:rRNA from 1 species
AAUAGAUACCCUGGUAGUCCACGCCGUAAACGAUGUCGACUUGGAGGUUGUUCCCUUGAGGAGUGGCUUCCGGAGCUAACGCGUUAAGUCGACCGCCUGGGGAGUACGGCCGCAAGGUUAAAACUCAAAUGAAUUGACGGGGGCCCGUACAAGCGGUGGAGCAUGUGGUUUAAUUCGAUGCAACGCGAAGAACCUUACCUACUCUUGACAUCCACGGAACUUUUCAGAGAUGAAUUGGUGCCUUCGGGAACCGUGAGACAGGUGCUGCAUGGCUGUCGUCAGCUCGUGUUGUGAAAUGUUGGGUUAAGUCCCGCAACGAGCGCAACCCUUAUCCUUUGUUGCCAGCGGUUAGGCCGGGAACUCAAAGGAGACUGCCAGUGAUAAACUGGAGGAAGGUGGGGAUGACGUCAAGUCAUCAUGGCCCUCACGAGUAGGGCUACACACGUGCUACAAUGGCGCAUACAAAGAGAAGCGACCUCGCGAGAGCAAGCGGACCUCAUAAAGUGCGUCGUAGUCCGGAUUGGAGU